rnacentral:rRNA from 1 species
ACCGGCAACAGCCCAAAACUCAAAGGACUUGGCGGUGCUUCACACCCUUCUAGAGGAGCCUGUUCUAUAAUCGAUAAACCCCGAUAAACCUCACCAAUCCUUGCUAAUACAGUCUAUAUACCGCCAUCUUCAGCAAACCCUAAAAAGGAACAAAAGUAAGCUCAAUCAUAGCACAUAAAGACGUUAGGUCAAGGUGUAACCUAUGGAGUGGGAAGAAAUGGGCUACAUUUUCUGUUUCAAGAAAAUUUAAUACGAAAGCUAUUAUGAAACUAAUAGCCAAAGGAGGAUUUAGCAGUAAACUAAGAAUAGAGUGCUUAGUUGAAUCAGGCCAUGAAGCACGCACACACCGCCCGUCACCCUCCUCAAGUAAAUACAGGACACUUAAAACCUAUUUAAAUGCACCAAUCACACAAGAGGAGACAAGU